rnacentral:rRNA from 1 species
UAGGGAAUAUUGGACAAUGGGCGCAAGCCUGAUCCAGCCAUGCCGCGUGAGUGAUGAAGGCCCUAGGGUUGUAAAGCUCUUUCACCGGUGAAGAUAAUGACGGUAACCGGAGAAGAAGCCCCGGCUAACUUCGUGCCAGCAGCCGCGGUAAUACGAAGGGGGCUAGCGUUGUUCGGAUUUACUGGGCGUAAAGCGCACGUAGGCGGACUAUUAAGUCAGGGGUGAAAUCCCGGGGCUCAACCCCGGAACUGCCUUUGAUACUGGUAGUCUUGAGUUCGAGAGAGGUGAGUGGAAUUCCGAGUGUAGAGGUGAAAUUCGUAGAUAUUCGGAGGAACACCAGUGGCGAAGGCGGCUCACUGGCUCGAUACUGACGCUGAGGUGCGAAAGCGUGGGGAGCAAACAGG